rnacentral:rRNA from 1 species
UUGGGUUAAGUCCCGCAACGAGCGCAACCCUCGUGUUUAGUUACUAACAGUUCGGCUGAGGACUCUAGACAGACUGCCUGGGUAACCAGGAGGAAGGUGAGGACGACGUCAAGUCAUCAUGGCCCUUACGUCCAGGGCUACACACGUGCUCCAAUGGGGCAUACAAAGAGCAGCGAUACCGCGAGGUGGAGCAAAUCUCAUAAAAUACCUCUCAGUUCGGAUUGCAGUCUGCAACUCGACUUCAUGAAGUUGGAAUCGCUAGUAAUCGUGACUCAGCAAUGUCACGGUGAAUACGUUCCCGGGUCUUGUACUCACCGCCC